rnacentral:rRNA from 1 species
AUACAGGGGGUGCGAGCGUUAAUCGGAAUUACUGGGCGUAAAGAGUACGUAGGCGGUUGCUUAAGUCAGAUGUGAAAGCCCCGGGCUCAACCUGGGAACUGCAUUUGAAACUGAGUGACUAGAGUUUAAGAGAGGGGAGUAGAAUUCCGGGUGUAGCGGUGAAAUGCGUAGAGAUCCGGAGGAAUACCAGUGGCGAAGGCGGCUCCCUGGCUUAAAACUGACGCUGAGGUACGAAAGCGUGGGUAGCAAACAGCAUUAGAAACCCUAGUAGUCC